rnacentral:rRNA from 1 species
AUUGAACGCUGGCGGCAUGCCUUACACAUGCAAGUUGAACGGCAGCGGGGGAGAAGCUUGCUUUUCCUGCCGGCGAGUGGCGAACGGGUGAGUAAUACAUCGGAACGUGCCCUGUAGUGGGGGAUAACUAGUCGAAAGAUUAGCUAAUACCGCAUACGACCUGAGGGUGAAAGUGGGGGACCGCAAGGCCUCAUGCUAUAGGAGCGGCCGAUGUCUGAUUAGCUAGUUGGUGGGGUAAAGGCCUACCAAGGCGACGAUCAGUAGCUGGUCUGAGAGGACGAUCAGACACACUGGGACUGAGACACGGCCCAGACUCCUACGGGAGGCAGCAGUGGGGAAUUUUGGACAAUGGGCGAAAGCCUGAUCCAGCAAUGCCGCGUGUGUGAAGAAGGCCUUCGGGUUGUAAAGCACUUUUGUCCGGAAAGAAAUGGCUCUGGUUAAUACCUGGGGUCGAUGACGGUACCGGAAGAAUAAGGACCGGCUAACUACGUGCCAGCAGCCGCAGUAA